rnacentral:ncRNA from 1 species
GGUUCCCCGGAGUCUGAAGACGAAAGGGACGAAAUAGGGAACACGGUGAGGCGUACCCAUCAGGGACCGAAUCCGUGGCUGCCCCCGCAACUGUAAGCGGUGAGAGUUCGCGCUAAACGCCACUGAGAAGCCGGGAAACCGGAUUUUUUGGGAAGGCGCGCGAGACUCAGCGACCCGUGAGCCAGGAGACCUGCCGCCGGUGG